rnacentral:rRNA from 1 species
UACGUAGGGCGCAAGCGUUGUCCGGAAUUAUUGGACGUAAAGAGCUCGUAGGCGGCCUGUUACGUCUGCUGUGAAAUCCCGGGGCUUAACCCCGGGCGUGCAGUGGAUACGGGCAGGCUGGAGGCAGGCAGGGGAGAACGGAAUUCCCGGUGUAGCGGUGAAAUGCGCAGAUAUCGGGAGGAACACCGGUGGCGAAGGCGGUUCUCUGGGCCUGUACUGACGCUGAGGAGCGAAAGCGUGGGGAGCGAACAGG